GACACACGGGGACAGCGGAGGAUCGCGCAGGGCCGCCCGCAGCGUCGAUCCGGGCACUCAGCGCGGGCUGUCACAGGACCGGGGGUCACCGCACCCCCCUCGCCGAGCGCUGCGGGUCCCCUGGGCCGCCCCAUCGGUGCUUGGGUGAGCUAAUUAAUGAGCUGGGCGAGCUAAUUAAGGAGCUAGCGGUGCCCCGCCAUGAGCGGCUCGGGCUUCCCACGGGCUGCGGCGAGCGGUGCUUUCGCUCCUCCCCGUCUCUCCCGCCGCUGACGCCGCUCCGGAGCCGCACUAGGACCGAGGAGGAGGAGGAGGAGGAGGAAGAAUGGAGGGGGAAUGGGCCAGCAGAGGAGCCCGGCUGCCCGCGCUGCUCCUGGCGCUGCUGGGCCUUGGGCCAGAGCUUCUCUUUGGCCAAGCACGGGCACCACCCCGGCAGGUGAACGGUGUCCUGGGGGGGUCCGUGCUGCUCUCGCCGGCUCUGCCCCCCAACAAGACGGUGAAGGAGAUCGAGUGGAGCUUUUCAGCCGGUGCCGGUGCCAUGAUUCAAGUGGCCGAGUUUGGCCCCGGCGGCUUCGAGCGCCCCGAUCCCAACGACCGGUUUAAGCAGCGGCUGGAGAUGUUCAACGCGACGGCGCUCAAGAUCAGGGCCCUGGAGCGGGGCGACAGCGGGGUGUACGGGGCGCGGAUCAAACUGCACCCGGCGCUGGUGGAGGACCAGACCUUCAACCUCUCUGUCUACGAGUCGGUGCCGAGCCCCCGGACCCGCAGCCAGCUCCUGGCCAGCACCCUGGAGUGGUGCAACCUGACGCUGCAGUGCCAGGGCGCCGGCAAGGGCGCCGUCAACGUCACCUGGAAGAGGGACAACGUCACCCGCGAGCUGCCCUCCGACCGCCACCAGCUGUCCCCGGACGGGACCACCCUGCGGCUGGCGCUGCCGCCCGCCGCCGCCAACGGCACCUACGCCUGCACCGUCAGCAACCCCGCCGACCACAAGGUCGUCCUGUUCGACCUGCAAACCAUCUGCCAGAGCGGAGGGGGACAAACGGCCUUCUCCAAGUCGGGGUACAUCGUCCUGACCCUCAUCCUGCUGGCGGUGAGCCUGGGGGGCGCAUUCUGGUGCUGGCGCGUGAACAGCGAGAAGGCGGCAGACCCAGCUGCCACCCCCACAGUGCCCGCCGAGGAGAGCCCCUCCGAGCCCCAGUACACCGAGAUCGUGCGCAGGAGCCCCCCGGAAGGGCCCCGGUCACCCCAAAACUAACGGGGAGCAGAGCUCGCCGCAGAAAGCGCCGGUCAGCACCGUCUAUGAGCAGAUCAGCCGAGCGCCAGAGGACACGGCCGAGGAGGUGACAUAGGCCCACAGGCACCCGCAGCGCCGGAGCACCGGGAUGUCCCAGAAGGGCUGUACAGUGCGUUGUGUGCCAAACCCGACCCCUCCGGCCCCCCUUUCGGCUCCGGGGAUGGACGGCACCAUCUCGGGGCGACAACCGUUCGGAUGCUGCCCCCCCCCACGCCGGUUUCUCCCCAACCUCCUUGUCUGACGCCCUCCCAGACUGUUUGGGGAGCGGGACCCCCGGAAUGAAGCAGAGACUCGUGGUGACGGCGAAGCGGGGGGACCCUGCAUGGCCCCCGGGCGCCCCGGGACGGGGGGACCCCGGGGGUCACCUCCCACGUGCCACCAUGGCCGGGUUGGCCGGGGUUGGAGGACAUCCUGGUGUUGGUCUGGCCGUGUCACCUCGGUGUGACACUGCGGGGCCAUGGGGAGACCCCCAGGGUAGUCAAACCCCCAAUCUCCCCCCCAACCCUCUGGGGUGUCACAGGGACCCCCUAUGGGGAGGUGUCCACCUGCUUCACCACUGCCACAGAGACAUUGGGGGACACUGGGGCGUCCCCCCAGCUCCGUCACACACGGCUCCGCUGGAGCAGAUGGUGGCACCUCCGGGGACACAGAGGGACACAGAAGGGCCCGUCACCCCUGUGAAUAUGUUGAGCAGCACUCCUUUUCCCCCCAGCCCCCCCAUAGCUGUUGCCCGUAGCCCGUGCACUGUUGCACCUGGGGGUCUCACUGCCUGCGUACCCAGCACCCGCGUCACGGGCCCCUCGCUCGGCCGGGCCCCCGCGCUGUACAAACAGCAAAUAAAUGUUGGUGAGAUCA